AGAUUGAAUCACGAUGAACGAAACAGAUUCAUUCCCUAUUUAAUCGCGAUCAGACGGUUCAAAUUAAAAACGAUAGACGGCUCAGAUCAAAAAGCGGAUGAGUAUAAAUAACCUCAUCCACACCCAAACCUUAACCCUAGCCGCCAGAGCCCCUCGUCGGAGAAGACAGCCCAGCUACCGGGGAGCCAACUGCCACCACCCGCCACUGUACUAGAAAUAUUUUCGGC
rnacentral:lncRNA from 1 species